UGGGGAAUCUUCCGCAAUGGACGAAAGUCUGACGGAGCAACGCCGCGUGAGUGAAGACGGCCUUCGGGUUGUAAAGCUCUGUGAUUCGGGACGAAAGGCCAUAUGUGAAUAAUAUAUGGAAAUGACGGUACCUAACCAGAAAGCCACGGCUAACUACGUGCCAGCAGCCGCGGUAAUACGUAGGUGGCAAGCGUUGUCCGGAAUUAUUGGGCGUAAAGCGCGCGCAGGUGGUUUAGAAAGUCUGAUGUGAAAGCCCACGGCUCAACCGUGGAGGGUCAUUGGAAACUAAUAAACUUGAGUGCAGGAGAGAAAAGUGGAAUUCCUAGUGUAGCGGUGAAAUGCGUAGAGAUUAGGAGGAACACCGGUGGCGAAAGCGGCUUUUUGGCCUGCAACUGACACUGAGGCGCGAAAGCGUGGGGAGCAAACAGG
rnacentral:rRNA from 1 species